AAUUUUUAAAGGAUUUUAGAUAUCUUUACCCUACUUUAUCAAACAGAAUUGUACAUAGACAGGACAUCCAGGGCAGCUUGUGCAAAGACAGGCCAGAACAUAACAGUCAGAAACCGUCUGCAAUUGUACAAACAUGUAUAAACAUGCCAAGUGUGAGUGGGAAUCCCACAGUUAAAGUCACAGUGAGAGCUAACAUCCAAACAGAAACCCUCUAUUGCUUAAAAAAAAGACAGAAGACAGCAGAAUGACAGAUUAUGCAACUGACACCACAGAAACAUGAAGAAGGAACUUGAACUCUUGAAAAGGAAACAGAGUGUUUAAAAUCAGAACUACAAAAGUUGUGUAAAGUCAUACUUGGAAGUACAGUUCAUCUGAAACCUUGAGGCAGUAACCUCAAACUGGAAGAAAGACUUCAGCAGAUUCCAGGAAUAACACAAGAUAUGAACUCUAUCAUCUUUACAAAACAAGUCGCUGGUGACUCACUCUAUGAAUAAAAUACUCAUGAAAAUCAGCACUUUAAGUUUUAAAGAAAAGCAACUUACUGUACAUUAUCCAGUUGUCUCAGUAUCUGCUUAGGAAUUUACAAAUAUUUACCUAACUACGUGAUAUGCAGGAUAAUUGUAUGACUUAAUCUCACAGUGAAUAAAUAAAUUAUGUGACAUUACCAAAUCUUAUAUAGGGUUAGAAAUAAACAACCCCUCAUAAAAAUAAAUCACAAACAGGCAUGAUAUCCAUUACUAAUACAAGAUAGGGUGAAAUUACAGGAUGAAGUCAAAAUGUGCUACAACCUUUACAGGUAUGUAAACAGGUAAUGUACCGGUAACCUUCUCUAAACCUUUGAGUGCUCAUGUCUAACUGUUCAAUGUGUCAGUCCUUUUUGCACCACUUCCUUUUCUGUAAUACGGAGCCUAAUGACAAAAUUCUCAGCAGGUGUUUUAACCAGGAAUCAACCAAUAAAUGUCAUCAUCAUCACGCUUUGAUGUCACAAGACCAAGACGACACUUAGCAGAUGAUCAACUGUGCCUCGCCAUUGUGGGGUUUCAGGCAGGAUGUAAUUAGACGGAAGUGGCUACUGAGCUUAGGGCGUCACAGAGUGUCAUAAGGUUACAACAGAGAUACAGAAACACUGGAAAAGUCACAGAAACACACAGAAGUGGACGUCCUCUGGCCACAUCCCACACUGAUGGCUACUUCUUUGUGAACAAUGCCCAGGAAACAGAAUGAUGAAAAAUGCCACUCAACUCCAAGCACAUUUAAGGGAGUUGAGAGACACGUCAGAUCGGUCGAAACCAUUUAUAUCAGCAUGUAACGCUUACUGGACGACCUUCGUUGGUACCUGACCAUACCACCACACACAGACGUCAUGGACGAGGGACCAGCAAACUCGAUUCUGUUCUCUGGUAAAAGUCGAUUUACGCCGAGAAGAAAUGAUAGCCAUCAACAAUGUUGGAGACGUCAAAGAGGCGCCAUGUUUAAGCCACUGAUGUCACCAGACAAACCUUUGGUGGUGAUCGUGUUUAAGUUUGGGCAGGUCUGUCCAGUCCAGGGGUCUGCAACCUUAACAAUCCAAAGACGCUGCUCAGUCCAGCUGAAUAAAACAGUCAGAAAAUGUUGCUCAUGAAAAAACAACUUGAAUAUAUGCUAUAGGAAAUUUGUGGUGAUAUUUUUCAAGAACCACAAUUUUAUUUCUGUUUUUAGGUAUUAAGGAAAAACAAAAUAAUUAUAAUGGUGUUUAGUUGCACAACUUUAUGGACUCGUUCAUUCGUGGCUGUUUUCACGUUUAUUGCGCUGUCCAUAUUAGUCUCGAUAUUUGCAGUUUUCUGGAGCGCAACGCGAAGCUCGACGUAAUUCACAGGUAAUAUAUUAACUUGACAUUAACAAAGACACAGCGGGACGGUUGAAAUGAUCCGACCCGCUGGAAACGAUGGACAGGGAUGGAAAUGAUGGACAGGGAGAGUCUGACUAAAACUAACUGGAUGUCAGACAAAUUCUGGGGUUUAUGUCUGCUUAUUUCCAAGCCCAAAAAGCGCAACCCGCGACUCAUUAAAUCUGCAAGCGACUUUAGAAAAAAAAACAAGCCCAAAGCUGCUUAUAAUAGGACUUGGCGAAGGAAACUCAAAAUACUUCCUGUUUUUCCAGCGACAAAAUGCGCAUCUCCCUCUUCCCUCCAUGUUUCUGUUUCUGUCGUUGCUGAUACUGUCGCAUAGAAAUGAAGCCUAGGCGCAAAUUCAAACCGGAAGACUCUGUAGCCUCACCUGCAUCAUCCAAUUGGCGCGUCCCGCUCAUCGCCGCCGACCUAUCAACGCUGGACAGGUCACGGCCAAUCACCGACCAAGGCCCAGUUGAUAAGGACCUCCAUCCAUGGCAUCUUCCGCUUUUCAGCAGCGCUCAAACCUCCUCCACCUCGACUCUCCCGGCUCUCCAGGCACACAUCAUCCACCGACCUCCACCACCAGCGUUGGGCCCCGGGGGAUGACAUUCCUAACCUACAUCGGGAAUGCUCAUCCGAUCUAUCAGCAGGAUAAUAAUCCAAGGUUUUUAAGGCUUUUCAUCCGUCACAAUCAGGAGUCUUGAUAAUUGUCUAGGGCACUGUGAUUUGAAAGAUUCUAGAAAUAUUUUACUUUAAUAUUCAUAAGGGUCAGAACAUCUGUACAUUUUGUUCCACACAAACCAACAUAUACAGUAUUUUUAAGGACAGUCAAUUUAAAUGAUUCAGUUUAUCAUCACAUACAAAAGAGCACUAAACUAGUCUCUGGUAUUUUAUACCUUUAUCCAUCCUUUUAUUUAAUGUUACUCUCUGUACUGCAUACAAAACAGGCCAGAGGGGUGGGGCUGAACUCGUAACAAAGUCUUGAACUUAAAAAAAAAGUUCAGCAAAAAGAGGGAUUUGCAAAAUUAACAAAUAUUU